GGCCACGUGGCGGAGAGGUUACGCAGAGGACUGCAAAUCCUUGCACGGGGGUUCGAUUCCCUCCGAGGCCUCCA
rnacentral:tRNA from 1 species